GUUAAGUGACUAAGCGUAUACGGUGGAUGCCUUGGCAGUUAGAGGCGAUGAAGGACGUGUAAGUCUGCGAAAAGCUGUGGUGAGCCGACAAAAUGCAUUUGAGCCACAGAUGUCCGAAUGGGGAAACCCACCUAUUUAUAGGUAUCGUUACAUGAAUAUAUAGUGUAACGAGGCGAACGAGGGGAACUGAAACAUCUAAGUACCCUUAGGAAAAGAAAUCAACCGAGAUUCCCCUAGUAGCGGCGAGCGAACGGGGAUUAGCCCUUAAGCAAUUAUGAACGUAGUGGAAGCCUCUGGGAAGUGGCGCGAUACAAGGUGAUAGCCCUGUACACGAAGUGUUUGUUUUUGUGAAAUCGAGUAGGUCGGGACACGUGUUAUCUUGACUGAAUAUGGGGGGACCAUCCUCCAAGGCUAAAUUCUCCUAACUGACCGAUAGUGAA
rnacentral:rRNA from 1 species